GGGCCCGCACAAGCGGUGGAGUAUGUGGUUUAAUUCGAGGCAACGCGAAGAACCUUACCUGGGUUUGACAUGCAUUGGACCGCCGGUGAAAGUCGGCUUUCCCUUCGGGGACUGAUGCACAGGUGCUGCAUGGCUGUCGUCAGCUCGUGCCGUGAGGUGUUGGGUUAAGUCCCGCAACGAGCGCAACCCUCGUCCUUAGUUGCCAUCAGGUAAUGCUGGGAACUCUAAGGAGACUGCCGGUGAUAAGCUGGAGGAAGGUGGGGAUGACGUCAAGUCCUCAUGGCCCUUAUAUCCAGGGCUACACACGUACUACAAUGGCCGGUACAAUAGGAUGCAAUGCCGCAAGGUGGAGCCAACCCUUAAAACCGGUCUCAGUUCAGAUUGGAGUCUGCAACUCGACUCCAUGAAGUUGGAAUCGCUAGUAAUCGCAGAUCAGCAGGCUGCGGUGAAUACGUUCCCGGGCCUU
rnacentral:rRNA from 1 species